CCCACGACACUCGUUAAUUAUGAAACGGGAAGUAGGCAAAAAUUCGCAUUUGUUUUAAUAUGUGGUAUUAGCGAUCCGUCGGUUAAUAACGCCCUAAAUUUGAAUUCAAAUAAAAGAGAAACAAAAAAUUCUCAAAGCAUAUGCAAUAAGAAAUGGGCGUGAACAAGUGGUAUAAGUGAUGAAAAGGUAUCGAGAAGGAAAACGGAAAAGCAGUUUAAUGCUAGUAAUGAUUUGUCUCAAGCGCCCAGCAGUCUCACAUUGCCGCCGGCCAGAGUUCAGAGGGUUGACGGCCUCGGACGCGGAUGAUUCCAAAGUCUUGAGCCUAGCUGCUGUAAAGCAAAGGAAAAAAGGAGAAUAAAAAGAUAGGAAGGUUAUAGUGACACAGAGAACGAUCAGACCUGUGGAAAGGGUGAAGAUCGGUGCCACUGUCGAAUAAGAAGGGUCUCCCUCACCCUGACAUAAGAGCACAAAGUAAAAGCGGGCGCUAUUGGAAGGAAUAAGGAAGAGGUAGACCUCAUGGUUCACGAGGAGGAAGAUACGGGUAAGGGGAUGCAGGGACGUUGGAGGGACAGCCGGUGAGUAGUAGGGGGAGGUCGCACGUGUAACCGACAUCCCCACUUCUCCCGCCUGCCCAUUCCGCAUUUUGCCACAAAAGAGCGUCCUUCACCGAUCUUCCCCCACUCACUCCACCAGGAACACCAGAAGGCACAUGGAAUACUCGGUUCGUGUCGUACCUUUUCGACUCCAUCCCACCCAGCUGCCACCCGACGACCCACUACCCACUGGCAUCCAAUCCCAACGGCUGC